ensembl:lncRNA
GGUUGGCACUGCUGGCUACAAGCAAGCUGGGGCAGCAUUUGAGCCCAGGAGAUCCCACUCCCUUGACGCUGCUGCGUGCUCUUCCCUGCUGGUGACUGCUGCCUGCCCCUCUCUGCCUGCUGACCUGUAUGUGGAGCCAUGCCCUCAACUGCUCUGUGUGAAACAAUCCAAGCUUGAAAGUAUUUUUUGGCCAUGCUUUAAGGGAUUACUGUAGAACUUCAGAAACUUCCGAAAGCCAAAUCCAGCUGUGUUGGAGGAUGAAUGCACUGGGGUGAACGCACCAUACACAGCAAACGCUCC